GAUGAACGCUGGCGGCGUGCCUAACACAUGCAAGUCGAGCGUGAUUGAUAUGAGUGGAGACUUCGGUUGAAGCGAGUAACAUGAAAGCGGCGGACGGGUGAGUAACGCGUGGGCAACCUGCCCCAUACACGGGAAUAGCCACUGGAAACGGUGAUUAAUGCCCGAUAAGACCACAGUACCCCAUGGUACAGCGGCCAAAGAUUUAUCGGUAUGGGAUGGGCCCGCGUCUGAUUAGCUAGUUGGUGAGGUAACGGCUCACCAAGGCGACGAUCAGUAACCGACCUGAGAGGGCGGACGGUCACACUGGAACUGAGACACGGUCCAGACUCCUACGGGAGGCAGCAGUGGGGAAUAUUGCACAAUGGGCGCAAGCCUGAUGCAGCAACGCCGCGUGAGUGAAGAAGGCCUUCGGGUCGUAAAGCUCUGUCCUGUGGGACGAAACAAAUGACGGUACCACAGGAGGAAGCCCCGGCUAACUACGUGCCAGCCGCCGCGGUAA
rnacentral:rRNA from 1 species